GGCAGAGUGGUGGAAAGAACGGGAACAAGAAGGAUAAUUGAGGUUGAUGGGGUUGAUGCAAAUUAAAUAAAUAAAUAUGAAAUUUGAGAUCUUAAUGGCAUUGAAAAUACAGAGGUAGUUUAGAUGCAAUAAACUGGAAUGCUGGCAGCAAACAAGUCAGUGAUUCAGCAGUAUAGCAUUGAACUCACACUCUCCUGCUUGGCAUCCCCACAUCUACUUGCUAAUACAUACAAGAUCUUUUGCAAAAUACAAGCAAUAUGCAAAAUAAGUCAAAUUGCAAAAACAAAUGUUUAAUUUUUCUUCUACAGCCUUGCAAAAAAAGAUGAAGAUGUUCAAGCUAAUUCAGUGUCUAUGUGAUCCACAGCAUUCAUGACUCAGUUUGUCUUUUUCCUGAACAUAAUUGGAUAAAUUCAGAUGAAAUUUGUUUCCAUGGCCAUUUGCCUGCAAUUGUGGCGCAGCCUGGCCCCUUUAAUAUUAUUGAUUUAUCUGCAUAAUUAAAGAAAACCACAUCAACCUUCAUGACAACAAGAUGUUUGAAUGCUUACUUGGCUUUGGCAGAGUUCUAAAGAAUUUAUUCCAUUCUAUUUUGCUUCUUUUUUUAAAAUUUUUACCUGUUGGGAACCGGCGUUUGGUUCCUAUUUGUAUUCUGUUGUUGGUGGUUCCCCAUUUCAUCCACCAGAGGGCGCUUGAGGCUGCACUGAGGGUGCCUGUGGUUCAGCACACCUGUUGUUCAUCUUCUAAUCAUCCUGAAGCUUAAGAGGAGCGGACUGCCUGCACUUCAGUGCCUGAGUGUUUGCCAGUGAUGGUGUUUUCCUCGUGACACUGAGCAUUCUCUUUGUGAAGACCUAGCUCUGGCCUUUUGGAUUUGCAUUCCUCGUGACGCCGUGGAAUUUACUCACUGGUUGCCCGAGCCCAACAGUCAGCUCCUCAACCAGGUCACAAGCAGUUAUCGGAGUUUUUCCCCAGCUGGCAGUCAGAUCGCUCCUCUUUCUUCCUCCACGCUCAAAACUUACCUGUCCGCCCUCCAACGCAGCCUCCGCUACCCUACCCAACUGUGUUGCCCUUGGAAACCUGGACCGCCUCACAGCCGCAACCAAGGUGGACCAAGACCCGAACCGGCAGGUACCCUCUCCCAGACUGAAUCUACCAUCUCACGAAGUAAGACCAGUCCAACUCUGUUCACCACUCACUUUUCCCAUUACCACAAACUCAUCUCCCUCUGUUAGUGAGCAGACGACCCCGUGAGCCCGUUCCUGGAUUCAUUCUCUCUCAAAUCAUUUUAUCAUUUUGUGCAAAUAAAAUCUCAUUUAACUGAUCACUAUUCUCCUGUGCUUGUUCUGCAUGUUUAAGAACUUAAAACCCAUUAUGAUAUUACCUCUGCAUGUUAUAACAUUUAAUAUAUGAAGAAACUACAAUACUACAUUAACACAAAUAAUACUUCCAUAUCAAUAAAUGGAUAGGCACCACUGUAUUCAAGAUAAAUACAGUGGUGCCUAAUGUUCAUAAUAAAAUCAUGAACAUUUUCAAUAGCUGGAGGGUCAAAAACAAGUAAUAGAUGGAAUGCAUUCCAGUGCAACUGAGGUUUUAUUAAGUUAUAAAAUUUUUAGUUAAAACUGACUGAAAAGUUUGUAAGUUUUGUGACAUUUAGGAUGCAACUAAUCUUACAGGUAAUUUAUUCUCCACAUAACAGAAUAGAAAAUGUAUUACUUCCACAUCUAUAAUUUUGAACAAUUAAUUCAUGAUUAGACCUCAAUAAACAAUGCAAAAUAAAACAACGAAAAAACAAAAUAAAUUUUCUGUUAAAUCCACGGGGAUCCAUGAAAAUCCAUGAAAAAGUCCAUGGAUAAACAGCCUUCUUGGGGUCAAGUACACAUUUCUGAUAAAAGCAAAAGCCAUUCUGUUCAGCCCAGACCAUGAAAGGUUUAUUAAAUGACUCUUAACACAUGGCAUUAAUAAAUAAUGCACCUCAUGUGAUUUAGUGGCAGGGCCAGACUGAACGACGUUUCAGCAAAAAGUCUGUAGCUGAGACACAGAGAAGCUGACGGGGCAGAACUGGCUGCUGCAAUAUGAAACGACAGAGAUGUGGGUCGACCUCAGGUGAUUAUCUGCCUCUGCUUUAGCAAUAUCAGAAUAAGGUCAAACAAUAUUAGCAGUGAAUACGUUGCAGUUGUUUUAGGUAAAGAGUAUUGGCCAAACUGAAUCAGUUUGGGGAGGAAAGAACAGAGGCGUUGAUGAAAACCUCAAUAUACAAUCAGUCAGGUUGGAUUUUUUAGGUCCGAUCUAAACUAAUCAAGUAGGAGCUAAACAAAAAGCACUAGUAGAUUGUUGGACGUUGGAUUUGAUGAUUUGGUGCUAGCUAGUAGAAUCGUUAGCAAUUUCAUAAUUUGAAGCAAUAAAUGCGUGACAGCCAUGUGAGAUAUUGAACUUGGGGCUACUUGGAGGCCCCUGAAUUUUCAUAACUUCAAGGGGGUGUUUUUGUAAAGUUCAACUGGAACACAAAAGCUCUCUUCCCCCUUUGAGGUUGCUUGAAGGCAGAAAUGACAAUAAAUUUCAGACCGAAGCUGCAGCAGAAGAAAAGAACUGCUGAAGACAUGGAAGAUUGUCUGGCUGAGAGCUGUGAACCUCAGGCUUGAAGGCAUGUGGAUAUUAAAAAUGCAUUUUGCAUCUUUAAUAUCAGACUCUCUUAAGAUCAGAGAGUCUGACCUCUGACCUUAAUAGUGAGGCUGAGAUUGCAGUUUGAUGUGAGUGAACAAUACCCUGAGAUGAAAGUAUAAUAUUCAAUACUUCUAUAAAACAUACGCAGUGGAAAUUCAGUGUGAAUUUAUAGUCUGAAAGAAUUCCUUUAUUUAAUUUAGACUGAAAAACAAAAUUGGUUUCCCUAAAUCACUUUUAUUGAUGGGUGAAGCUUUUAUUUAUUUAUAUAGGUUUAAAUAAAUUUUUGUUUUACUGUAUUUUAUUUCCCUUUUGCUGAAAACAUUGCUUUCAUUUUCAUAUUUACCAUACACAUCACAAUAUCUACAAUAAUUUUAAAACAACCUGCUGACUUGAUAUUCAAUAGUAGUUGUUCAAAACUUAAAAAGACAAUUUAAUUCAUUUAAAUUACUAACAUAAAAUGUAAGAUCAUCAUUAUUGGUCAUUUAGAUCAUUUUUUCCUCCAAAAACAUUUGAACAGUCUGCUACAGAAGGAAGCAGAUUUCUCAACAUUGUGCGUCUAAUUUUUAGAAAAGAGACAUUAAUUGACUUUAUGAGAAGAAAAGGUCAUUUUAUUUAUUCAUACAGUUGCAAUAAGCCAUUGAUUAGUAUUUACAGUGAUUGAAUGUUUCUGUGAAUAGGAUGUCUAGUGGGAGACUUCCAUACAGUAAUUAUACAUAUAUAAUGCUGUACCCCUGUAGCAGGGGUCUUUAUCACCCCCAAGAUACUUCUGGAACAUUGGAAAAUAGAAGAAAAAAAAAACACUAAGCAAUGAAAAAAUGCAGUAAUUAAAAACGUUUAGUAGAUUUAACUGCUUUAUUUAAAGUUAUCUGACAAGAACAAAUCUCUACCAUCCAACUUUAUAAAAGCCAGUGGCUUAGCAUGGCUCUCAGGAGGUUGUCUGGCAGUCAAAGUUGUGAGCUAUGCAGCAGAAUUUUUUGUUUCAAUACACUCCAUUUUGCUCAGGUAUAAUCACAUAUCCAUGAAUUCAAAAGAAUAGUGUAUGCAAUUUACUGUCUUUGUUGGUUUGUCUGCAUUAAAAGUGAGGUACAAACUUUUGGCCAAUAACAGCGAUUUCUUCAUUUUUUAUGUUAAUGGGUUUUUCUGUCUGCGUUGUUAAAUUUGUUCUGUUGACAAAUCGAUUUUUCUUACUUGGCAUGUUUAUUUAACAUGAUUGAAGCAACUAGGAUUUGUUACCUGGAAUAAGCCCAUAACACUAGAGUUUUGGGUCUUGGGUAAUAAAAAUCCUACUGCAAGAAAAUCUAAAAAUUGAGAUUGAAUUUUUCUCCUUUGUAGAAAAAAAGAUUGAUGGCAUUUUGAUUACAGUCCCUCAACAUAGAUUGCUUCAAGGCACAAAGGUCAUGUGAUAAAGGGGCCAGACUGCAGCUUUCAUUUUAGGUAAGGAUCAUUAAUAAAUCUGCUGUCCUCAUAAAUAUUUUUCAUGUUUUCUCCUGGAAAUCAAGUUUCCCAGCAUUUGUACUUUGCAGGAAAAAUAUUUUCCAGAUUCUUUUUUGAUCCCAAGUUAAAUAAAAUAUUUUUUUGUCUGUG